GACGAACGCUGGCGGCGUGCUUAACACAUGCAAGUCGAACGGAAAGGCCCUGCUUUUGUGGUGUUCUCGAGUGGCGAACGGGUGAGUAACACGUGAGUAACCUGCCCUUGACUUUGGGAUAACUUCAGGAAACUUGUGCUAAUACCUGAUAGGAGCUCCUGCUGCAUUGUGUGGUUUGGUUAGUUUCGGCGGUUGGGUAUGGUCUCGCUGCUUAUCAGCUUGUUUGUGGGGUAGUGGCUUACCAAGGCUUUGACGGGUAGCCGGCCUGAGAGGGUGACCGGCCACAUUGGGACUGAGAUACGGAACAGAAUGCUACGGGAGGCAGGAGUGGGGAAUAUUGGACAAUGGGAGGAAGCAUGAUGAAGAAAAGCAGCGUGCGGGAUGACGGCCUUCGGGUUGUAAAAAGAAUUAGAAUGUGAAGAAGAGAGAGUGACGGUAAUGGGUAAAGAAGCACCGGCUAACUACGUG
rnacentral:rRNA from 1 species